ACGAUGCCUAUGCAGGAUGGUCUGUCAUUGAUGGUGGUCUCUGAAUACACCACGAGGACUAAGCAAGUGUGGCGGCUCCCAGCUCUUAUUCAUGCGCUGGUUCGCCGCGCAAAUACUCUCCUGCCACUCUGCUCCUGUUUCCUUCAGGGAUGCUGCUGCACACACUGGCUCUCGCUGUAAUCCUCCUGCUGGUUCAGGUGGAAGACACGGCAGGGACCAUAUCGCCGUGCCAGGUGGAUUGCCGCCACUAUGGGUCAGCACUCGGGAACUUGGCUGACGAUCCCUUCCACUGCAACAUGUAUUAUGUGUGCUUCGAUUGGUUCACCUAUAGCACGAUCCCGUUCACU